AGAGUUUGAUCAUGGCUCAGGAUGAACGCUGGCGGCGUGCUUAACACAUGCAAGUCGAACGAUGAUCCGGUGCUUGCACCGGGGAUUAGUGGCGAACGGGUGAGUAACACGUGAGUAACCUGCCCUUGACUCUGGGAUAAGCCUGGGAAACUGGGUCUAAUACCGGAUAUGACUCCUCAUCGCAUGGUGGGGGGUGGAAAGCUUUUGUGGUUUUGGAUGGACUCGCGGCCUAUCAGCUUGUUGGUGAGGUAAUGGCUCACCAAGGCGACGACGGGUAGCCGGCCUGAGAGGGUGACCGGCCACACUGGGACUGAGACACGGCCCAGACUCCUACGGGAGGCAGCAGUGGGGAAUAUUGCACAAUGGGCGAAAGCCUGAUGCAGCGACGCCGCGUGAGGGAUGACGGCCUUCGGGUUGUAAACCUCUUUCAGUAGGGAAGAAGCGAAAGUGACGGUACCUGCAGAAGAAGCGCCGGCUAACUACGUGCCAGCAGCCGCGGUAAUACGUAGGGCGCAAGCGUUAUCCGGAAUUAUUGGGCGUAAAGAGCUCGUAGGCGGUUUGUCGCGUCUGCCGUGAAAGUCCGGGGCUCAACUCCGGAUCUGCGGUGGGUACGGGCAGACUAGAGUGAUGUAGGGGAGACUGGAAUUCCUGGUGUAGCGGUGAAAUGCGCAGAUAUCAGGAGGAACACCGAUGGCGAAGGCAGGUCUCUGGGCAUUAACUGACGCUGAGGAGCGAAAGCAUGGGGAGCGAACAGGAUUAGAUACCCUGGUAGUCCAUGCCGUAAACGUUGGGCACUAGGUGUGGGGGACAUUCCACGUUUUCCGCGCCGUAGCUAACGCAUUAAGUGCCCCGCCUGGGGAGUACGGCCGCAAGGCUAAAACUCAAAUGAAUUGACGG
rnacentral:rRNA from 1 species